rnacentral:rRNA from 1 species
CUACGUGCCAGCAGCCGCGGUCAUACGUAGGUCCCGAGCGUUAUCCGGAGUGACUGGGCGUAAAGAGUUGCGUAGGCGGUCAAGUUAGCGAGCGAUGAAAACUAUCGGCUCAACCGAUAGCUUGUUGUUCGAACUGCUUGACUCGAGAGUAUCAGAGGUCGCUGGAAUUCCUAGUGUAGCAGUGAAAUGCGUAGAUAUUAGGAAGAACACCGAUGGCGUAGGCAGGCGACUGGGAUAUUUCUGACGCUAAGGCACGAAAGCGUGGGUAGCGAACCGGAUUAGAUACCCGGGUAGUCCACGCCGUAAACGAUGGAUGCUAAUUGUUUGAGGUAUCGACCCCUCGAGUAAUAAAGCUAACGCGUUAAGCAUCCCGCCUGUGGAGUACGGCCGCAAGGCUAAAACAUAAAGGAAUUGACGGGGACCCGCACAAGCGGUGGAGGAUGUUCUUUAAUUCGACGUUAAGCGAAGAACCUUACCAGGGCUUGACAUCCCUA